AUGCAAGUCGAACGGAUGCAAUAUUCGACACAGAAUGGCGAAUAUUGCAAUUGAGAAUUGAAAAUUGAGAGUUGAGAAUUAAGGUGUCACUUCGUGACGAUUAUAGAAAUCGUGGCGAAGCCAAUCUUUCAUUCUCCACUCUCCAUUCUCCACUCUCAAUUGCAAUAUUCACCACUGUGUGUUGAAUAUUGCGUUAGUGGCGGACGGGUGAGUAACGCGUGAGCAAUCUGCCUUCAAGAGGGGGAUAACACAUAGAAAUGUGUGCUAAUACCGCAUAACGUAUAGGAUUGACAUCAGUUUUAUACCAAAGAUUCAUCGCUUGAAGAUGAGCUCGCGUCUGAUUAGCUAGUUGGUAGGGUAACGGCCUACCAAGGCGACGAUCAGUAGCCGGACUGAGAGGUUGAACGGCCACAUUGGGACUGAGACACGGCCCAGACUCCUACGGGAGGCAGCAGUGGGGAAUAUUGCGCAAUGGGGGAAACCCUGACGCAGCAACGCCGCGUGAAGGAAGAAGGCCUUAGGGUUGUAAACUUUUGUCUUUAGGGAAGAACGCCUUAGGGCUUGACGGUACCUAAGGAGGAAGCCACGGCUAACUACGUGCCAGCAGCCGCGGUAAUACGUA
rnacentral:rRNA from 1 species